rnacentral:rRNA from 1 species
GAUGAACGCUGGCGGCGUGCCUAAUACAUGCAAGUCGAGCGAAUGGAUUAAGAGCUUGCUCUUAUGAAGUUAGCGGCGGACGGGUGAGUAACACGUGGGUAACCUGCCCAUAAGACUGGGAUAACUCCGGGAAACCGGGGCUAAUACCGGAUAAUAUUUUGAACUGCAUGGUUCAAAAUUGAAAGGCGGCUUCGGCUGUCACUUAUGGAUGGACCCGCGUCGCAUUAGCUAGUUGGUGAGGUAACGGCCCACCAAGGCAACGAUGCGUAGCCGACCUGAGAGGGUGAUCGGCCACACUGGGACUGAGCAACGGCCCAGACUCCUACGGGAGGCAGCAGUAGGGAAUCUUCCGCAAUGGACGAAAGUCUGAUGGAGCAACGCCGCGUGAGUGAUGAAGGCUUUCGGGUCGUAAAACUCUGUUGUUAGGGAAGAACAAGUGCUAGUUGAAUAAGCUGGCACCUUGACGGUACCUAACCAGAAAGCCACGGCUAACUACGUGCCAGCAGCCGCCGUAA